CAGAAAUGAAAUUGAAGUUUUGAACUCAGAACUGGGUCCACGGAAACCUGCAUCUGUAUGAGGAGAGACUGGAACCCUUGCAAUGUGUCCCCAAGAAGAAAGACUGAGGAGGGCAAUGGACAAGAUGCAGGAGGCGACAUGGGGGCGAAUGGACAUCAAGAAAACCAAAACCGUCCACAAUACCCAUCUUGUAAAAGGAGGAUAUUCAAAAAGAAGAAACCCGUUUUUAUUCAGCAAGUUCGCUUAUUCCACCGUCC